CGCAUAUUGCGCCCUUUGGUAUUCCGAGGGGCAUGCCUGUUCGAGCGUCAUUUCAAAACCAUCAAGCCCCCGGCUUGGCCUUGAGCCUCCACAACGCCCCUGCUGCGGGCGUUGGCUCCAAAGUCUUCCCGGCGGCGGUGCCGUGCCACGGGCGUACCGAGAACCCCAAAAGUUCCACGUCUCGUUGUGCGCGGCGGCCGCUCGCCCCUAGAGAAUCAUAUAUUCAAAAGGUUGACCUCGGAUCAGGUAGGGAUACCCGCUGAACUUAA
rnacentral:misc_RNA from 1 species